rnacentral:rRNA from 1 species
UUUGUAGCAACUUGCGCCUGGGCGAAGCCUGACGCACGACGCCGCGUGGGGGAUGAUGGUCCUCGGCCUGUAAACCCCCCUCGGGAGGGAAGCUGGGACGGGCAACCGUCCGGACGGUACCUCCAGAAGCAGCCACGGCUAACCUCGUGCCAGCAGCCGCGGUAAUACGAAGGUGGCAAGCGUUGUUCGGACUUACUGGGCGUACAGGGAGCGUAGGCGGUUAGGUAAGCCCUCUCGGGAAAUCUCCCGGCUUAACCGGGAAAGGUCGGAGGGGACUGCCUGGCUAGAGGACGGGAGAGGAGCGCGGAACUCCCGGUGUAGCGGUGAAAUGCGUAGAGAUCGGGAGGAAGGCCGGUGGCGAAGGCGGCGCUCUGGAACGUUUCUGACGCUGAGGCUCGAAAGCGUGGGGAGCAAACAGGAUUAGAUACCCUGGUAGUCCACGCCUUAAACUAUGAAUACUAAGUGUCGGCGGGUUACCGCCGGUGCCGCAGCUAACGCAUUAAGUAUUCCGCCUGGGAAGUACGGCCGCAAGGUUGAAACUCAAAGGAUUUGACGG